UACAGAGGUCUCAAGCGUUGUUCGGAUUCAUUGGGCGUAAAGGGUGCGUAGGCGGCGCGGUAAGUCGGGUGUGAAAUCUUGGAGCUUAACUCCGAAACUGCAUUCGAUACUGCCGUGCUUGAGGACUGGAGAGGAGACUGGAAUUUACGGUGUAGCGGUGAAAUGCGUAGAUAUCGUAAGGAAGACCAGUGGCGAAGGCGGGUCUCUGGGCAUUUCCUGACGCUGAGGCGCGAAAGCGUGGGGAGCAAACGGG
rnacentral:rRNA from 1 species